rnacentral:rRNA from 1 species
GUAAUACGUGAGCAACGUGCCCUAAAGACCGGGAUAGUCAGUGGAAACGCUGGGUAAUACGGAUGUGGAGCUUCUUUGGCAUCAAGGGAGUUUUAAAUGGUUUUUCGCUUUAGGAGCGGCUCACGGCUAUCAGGUAGUUGGUGGGGUGAAGGCCUACCAAGCCGACGACGGGUAGCGGGUCUGAGAGGAUGACCCGCUCGAGUGGGACUGAGACACGGCCACACACCUACGGGUGGCAGCAGUUGGGAAUCUUGCACAAUGGGGGAAACCCUGAUGCAGCGACGCCGCGUGGAGGACGACGGGUCUAGGCCUGUAAACUCCUUUUACCAGGAAAGACUUAGGACGGUACCUGGUGAAUAAGCACCGGCUAACUACGUGCCAGCAGCCGCGGUAAGACGUAGGGUGCAAGCGUUGUCCGGAUUUACUGGGCGUAAAGGGCGCGUAGGCGGCUCGUUAAGUGUGAAGUGAAAUCCCUAGGGCUCAACCCAGGAACUGCUUUACAUACUGGCGGGCUGGAGGAUUGGAAAGG